GACGAACGCUGGCGGCGUGCUUAACACAUGCAAGUCGAGCGGUAAGGCCUUUCGGGGUACCCGAGCGGCGAACGGGUGAGUAACACGUGGGUGAUCUGCCCUGCACUUCGGGAUAAGCCUGGGAAACUGGGUCUAAUACCGGCUAUGACCUCCUAUCGCAUGGUGGGUGGUGGAAAGAUUUAUCGGUGCAGGAUGGGCCCGCGGCCUAUCAGCUUGUUGGUGGGGUAAUGGCCUACCAAGGCGACGACGGGUAGCCGACCUGAGAGGGUGACCGGCCACACUGGGACGGAGACGCGGCCCAGACUCCUACGGGAGGCAGCAGUGGGGAAUAGUGCACAAUGGGCGAGAGCCUGAUGCAGCGACGCCGCGUGAGGGAUGACGGCCUUCGGGUUGUAAACCUCUUUCAGCAGAGACGAAGCGCAAGUGACGGUACCUGCAGAAGAAGCACCGGCUAACUACGUG
rnacentral:rRNA from 1 species